UACGUAGGGGGCUAGCGUUGUCCGGAAUCAUUGGGCGUAAAGAGCGUGUAGGCGGCCCGGUAAGUCCGCUGUGAAAGUCGGGGGCUCAACCCUCGAAUGCCGGUGGAUACUGUCGGGCUAGAGUGCGGAAGAGGCGAGUGGAAUUCCUGGUGUAGCGGUGGAAUGCGUAGAGAUCCGGAAGAACACCGGUGGCGAAGGCGGUCUGCUGGGCAGUUGCUGACGCUGAUGCGCGACGAGCGUGGGGAGCAAACAGG
rnacentral:rRNA from 1 species